rnacentral:rRNA from 1 species
UACGGAGGGUGCGAGCGUUUAAUCGGAAUUACUGGGCGUAAAGCGUGCGCAGGCGGUUUGCUAAGACAGGUGUGAAAUCCCCGGGCUUAACCUGGGAACUGCGCUUGUAACUGGCAAGCUUGAGUGUGGCAGAGGGGGGUGGAAUUCCAGCGUGUAGCAGUGAAAUGCGUAGAGAUGUGGAGGAACACCAGUGGCGAAGGCGACGUCUUUGGCCUGUAACGUGACGCUUGAGGCGCGAAAGCGUGGGGAGCAAAGCAGG